GACAGAGGUGCCAAGCGUUAGGCGGAAUCACUGGGCUUAAAGCGUGUGUAGGCGGACUGGUAAGUACCUUGUGAAAUCCCACGGCUCAACCGUGGAACUGCUGGGUAUACUGCUUGUCUUGAGCCACUUAGGGGCUGUCGGAACAAACGGUGGAGCGGUGAAAUGCGUAGAUAUCGGAAAGAACACCAACGGCGAAAGCACUCUGCUGGGCCGACACUGACACUGAGAGACGAAAGCUAGGGGAGCGAAUGGG
rnacentral:rRNA from 1 species